UCCCAGGUGGCAAGGGAGCUUCCCAGGG
rnacentral:piRNA from 1 species